UCUUUUNNANACCUAGUAAUAGGUAUGCUUUAGGAGGGGCUUGCGCCAUAUUAGUUAGUUGGUAGGGUAAUGGCCUACCAAGACGAUGAUGUGUAGCUGGACUGAGAGGUUGAACAGCCACAUUGGGACUGAGACACGGCCCAAACUCCUACGGGAGGCAGCAGUAGGGAAUUUUCGGCAAUGGAGGAAACUCUGACCGAGCAACGCCGCGUGAAUGACGAAGUACUUCGGUAUGUAAAGUUCUUUUAUCAAGGAAGAAAAGCAAAUGGCGAACCAUUUGUUUGCCGGUACUUGAUGAAUAAGCCCCGGCUAAUUAUGUGCCAGCAGCCGCGGUAAGACCAUAAGGGGCAAGUGUUAUCCGGAAUUAUUGGGCGUAAAGGGUGCGUAGGCGGUCUAGUAAGUCAGUGGUGUAAUGGCAACGCUUAACGUUGUCCGGCUAUUGAAACUGCUAAACUUUGAGUUAGAUAGAGGCGAGUGGAAUUCCAUGUGUAGCGGUAAAAUGCGUAAAUAUAUGGAGGAACACCAGAGGCGUAGGCGGCUCGCUGGGUCUUAACUGACGCUGAGGCACGAAAGCGUGGGGAGCAAACAGGAUUAGAUACCCUGGUAGUCCACGCCGUAAACGAUGAGUACUAAGUGUCGGGUUAAACCGGUACUGAAGUUAACACAUUAAGUACUCCGCCUGAGUAGUACGUACGCAAGUAUGAAACUUAAAGGAAUUGACGGGACUCCGCACAAGCGGUGGAUCAUGUUGUUUAAUUCGAAGAUACCCGAAAAACCUUACCAGGUCUUGACAUGUUUUUGCAAAAUGAUAGUAAUAUCGUGGAGGUUACCAGAAACACAGGUGGUGCAUGGUUGUCGUCAGCUCGUGUCGUGAGAUGUUAGGUUAAGUCCUAAAACGAGCGAAACCCUUAUCGUUAGUUGCCAGCACGUUAUGGUGGGGACUUUAACGAGACUGCCAAUGAUAAAUUGGAGGAAGGUGAGGAUCACGUCAAAUCAGCAUGCCCCUUAUGACCUGGGCUACAAACGUGAUACAAUGGCUGUUACAAAGGGUAGCUGAAACGCAAGUUCUUGGCCAAUCCCCAAAAACAGUCCCAGUCCGGAUUGAAGUCUGCAACUCGACUUCAUGAAGUUGGAAUCGNCUAGUAAUCGCGAA
rnacentral:rRNA from 1 species